rnacentral:rRNA from 1 species
AGCAGUCGCCACGGUAAUACAGAGGGUGCGAGCGUUGAUCGGAUUUACUGGGCGUAAAGCGUGCGUAGGCGGCUUCUUAAGUCGGAUGUGAAAUCCCUGAGCUUAACUUAGGAAUUGCAUUCGAUACUGGGAAGCUAGAGUAUGGGAGAGGAUGGUAGAAUUCCAGGUGUAGCGGUGAAAUGCGUAGAGAUCUGGAGGAAUACCGAUGGCGAAGGCAGCCAUCUGGCCUAAUACUGACGCUGAGGUACGAAAGCAUGGGGAGCAAACAGGAUUAGAUACCCGUGUAGUCCCUGUCUCUUAUAC